AACGAACGUUAGCGGCGCGCCUAACACAUGCAAGUCGCACGAGAAAGGGCUUCGGCCCCGGUAAAGUGGCGCACGGGUGAGUAACACGUGGGUAAUCUGCCCUCGAGCGGGGGAUAACAUUCCGAAAGGAGUGCUAAUACCGCAUAAGACCACGUUCUCGAAAGAGGAUGAGGUAAAAGCUGGCCUCUAUACAUAAGCUAGCACUUGAGGAUGAGCCCGCGGCGCAUCAGCUUGUUGGUGAGGUAACGGCUCACCAAGGCUAAGACGCGUAGCUGGUCUGAGAGGAGGAUCAGCCACACUGGAACUGAGACACGGUCCAGACUCCUACGGGAGGCAGCAGUGGGGAAUCUUGCGCAAUGGGCGAAAGCCUGACGCAGCGACGCCGCGUGAGUGAUGAAGGCCUUCGGGUUGUAAAGCUCUGUGGGGAGAGACGAAUAAGUGCAGCCUAAUACGAUGCAUGAUGACGGUAUCUCCUUAGCAAGCACUGGCUAACUCUGUGCCAGCAGCCGCGGUAACAC
rnacentral:rRNA from 1 species